rnacentral:rRNA from 1 species
GUUUGAUCCUGGCUCAGGAUGAACGCUGGCGGCGUGCUUAACACAUGCAAGUCGAACGAUGAUCCCAGCUUGCUGGGGGAUUAGUGGCGAACGGGUGAGUAACACGUGAGUAACCUGCCCUUGACUCUGGGAUAAGCCUGGGAAACUGGGUCUAAUACCGGAUAUGACUCCUCAUCGCAUGGUGGGGGGUGGAAAGCUUUUGUGGUUUUGGAUGGACUCGCGGCCUAUCAGCUUGUUGGUGGGGUAAUGGCCUACCAAGGCGACGACGGGUAGCCGGCCUGAGAGGGUGACCGGCCACACUGGGACUGAGACACGGCCCAGACUCCUACGGGAGGCAGCAGUGGGGAAUAUUGCACAAUGGGCGCAAGCCUGAUGCAGCGACGCCGCGUGAGGGAUGACGGCCUUCGGGUUGUAAACCUCUUUCAGUAGGGAAGAAGCGAAAGUGAC